UACGUAGGGGGGCAAGCGUUGUCCGGAAUCAUUGGGCGUAAAGCGCGUGUAGGCGGUCCGGUAAGUCCGCUGUGAAAGUCGGGGGCUCAACCCUCGGAUGCCGGUGGAUACUGUCGGGCUUGAGUACGGAAGAGGCGAGUGGAAUUCCUGGUGUAGCGGUGAAAUGCGCAGAUAUCAGGAGGAACACCAAUGGCGAAGGCAGCUCGCUGGGACGUGACUGACGCUGAGACGCGAAAGCGUGGGGAGCAAACAGG
rnacentral:rRNA from 1 species